rnacentral:rRNA from 1 species
GCAGCUACCAUGCAGUCGAGCGGAUGAGUGGAGCUUGCUCCUGAUUCAGCGGCGGACGGGUGAGUAAUGCCUAGGAAUCUGCCUGGUAGUGGGGGAUAACGUUUCGAAAGGAACGCUAAUACCGCAUACGUCCUACGGGAGAAAGUGGGGGAUCUUCGGACCUCCCGCUAUCACAUGAUUCUACGUCGUAUUAGCUAGUUAGUGGGGUUACGGCCCAUCACUGCCAAUAUUAGUAACUGGUCUUUGAGGAUGA